GCCAGCGAGCCUGGCACGUGACUCCCUGACGGACUCCCUCGGUCGCUCGGAGGCUGGGUCUGUCUGUCCGUCCGCGGGUGCCAUCAUAGCGGACGUGGCCAGUCAGGUGCUCCUGAGCUCCGGUCUCACCAUCCUGUCCCAGCUGCUCAUGUAUGUGAAAGUGCUCAUCCAGGUGGGAUAUGAGCCUCUUCCUCCAACAAUAGGAUGAAAUAUUUUCAGGCGGCAAGUAUGUCAGCUUCCUGGUUUUUUUUGUUAUGCCAGCAUUGAUGGAAGACGCGGGUUGUCCACAGACUUAACUCCAAGACUGUGUUCAGGAGUCCUUGGAACUGUGGUCCAUCGGAAAGUUUUACAGCAUUACCAGGAAUGUGAGAAGGGUGAGGAGUUAGGACCUGGAAAUGUACAGAAAGAAGGCUCGUAUUCAUCUGACCGAGUUAUCAAGGAGACAACUCGAGAGAUGAUUGCUCGUUCUGCUGCUACCCUGAUCACACAUCCCUUCCAUGUGAUUACUCUGAGAUCUAUGGUACAAUUCAUUGGCAGAGAAUCCAGGUACUGUGGACUCUGUGGCUCCACAGUAACUAUCUACCGGGAAGAGGGCAUCCUAGGAUUUUUUGCGGGUCUUGUUCCUCGCCUCCUAGGUGACAUCAUUUCUUUGUGGCUCUGUAACUCACUGGCCUACCUCAUCAAUACCUAUGACAGUGGGGUUUCCACCAUGAAUGAAAUGAAGAGUUAUUCCCAAGCUGUCACAGGAUUUUUUUGCCAGUAUGUUGACCUAUCCCUUUGUGCUUGUCUCUAAUCUUAUGGCUGCCAACAACUGUGGGCUUGACAGUGGGUGACCUCCUUACUCUCCAGGAUAUUCUUCUUGGAUAGAUUGCUGGUGCAUGCUACAAAAAGACGGCAAUAUGAGCCGAGGAAAUAGCUCAUUUUUCCAGAAAGUCCCCUUUGGGAAGACUUACUGUUGUGACUUGAGAAUGUUAAUUUGAAGAUGUGGGGCAGGGACAGUGACAUUUCUAUAGUCCCAGAUGCACAGAAUUAUGGGAGAGAAUAUUGAUUUCUAUACAAUACAGCGCGCUUUUUUAAUAAUCAUUUGAUCUUGGG